GGGCAGUUAGCUCAGCGGUAGAGCAUCUCGUUUACACCGAGGAGGCCGCAGGUUCGAUCCCUGCACUGCCCACCA
rnacentral:tRNA from 1 species